ACAAAGAAAUAGUACACUCUCUUUCUCCUCCUUUUUAGAUCAAACAACACUUUUUGAAUGUUCUUGUUCAACAAUACAUGAAGAACAUGAAGAACACCAAGAACAUUCAAAGUUUGACCCAAAGUUGACCCUUAAGUAAAUGAACUCAGAAUUUGAUUUUUCUUGAAGAUCCAAACUCACGUUGAUAAUCCAACCACAAAUAUCAUGUUUUCAUCUCCAAAAACGUCAACAACAACCUUCCACAAUGAGAUCUCACCUUCAAGUUUCUUCAAACUCAAGAUCAACAAUGGUGGAUGGCUCAAAUCACCUUCAAUUUAGCUCAAAUUCAAACCCUAGACUCCUAUAGUGUUAGAGAACACAAAUCUAACACUAAAAACACACAAAAAAAAAAUCAAAAACUCAA
rnacentral:lncRNA from 1 species